GUGGCUGCGAUCAGGACCGUGUGGCCCUGGGGGGUGGGGGACAGACCAGCAGGUGGACGGAACAGGAGGGAGAGCCCAGAAACAGCCACACGAACGCCCCCGACGGAUCCUUGACAAAGGAGCGAGGCCACCCAUGGGGCGAAGGCCGUGCCCUCCGCAGGCGGUGCUGGACAACUGGACGUCCACACGCAGAGGGAACGUGGACACGGGCCUUAUGCUCCUCUCGACUGGCUCACAAGGGGUCACGGACGCGGCGUGGGAUGCGAAACUAUGACACUUCUAGAAGACGACACAGGAGAAAUCCCCGGUGACCCUGGACGGGAGGAUGACCCUGUAGACCCGGCACCACGGGUCCAAUCCAGGAGACAAACAACUGACCGGCUGGACCUUGUCCUGCGAAAGUCAGGGGGGUGAGAGGACAAGCACCGGCCGGCAGCAAAUAUUUGCAAAAGACACAGCUGAUAGAGGACGGCGCCUACAAUACGUAAAGAUCUCUGAACACUCAACAACACGACCUGACAACGCGUUUAAGAGCGGACGGGAGACCUGCACGGAGACACGCAGGUGGCAGAUCAGGAAGGCUGCUCCGCGUCCCAGGCCGUCAGGGAGACGGCGACGAAGACGUCAUGAUCUCAGGGUCGCGGGUCGGAGCUUCCGGUCGGGCUUCGUGCUCAGCGUGGAGACAGGACAAAACAAAGGAGCUAAGGAGGAAGAGCUGCCUGAAGAGGCAUGAGGACGCAUAAGCAGAGUGAAUAAAAGGGUUUUCGGGUC